UCUGCAACAGUGUUCUGGCCAAGGGUUAUUUAGCUCUGGCUUCUGAGGCUCCCUCCAAUACAUGAACCUUGCCGCUUUCUAUAGGUCCAAGAGCACCAGAUCCUCUGGGUCCCUGCGAGAUGGGAUGCCAUUCCAGCAAGAUCUCUGAGGUGGUCGUGGAGUCCCAGAAACCCAGAGGUCACCCUGAGGGAGGAGAGCCAAAGGUGGAGCCUGGCACUGAGGCAUCGGAUGCUACGGACACCUCAAUGAAGCAAGGCGCCCCUGCGUUGAAGUGCUGACCCUCUUUCUCGAGCGGACCCUCACCUCUUCCCUGGAAUUGCCUUUGACCUGUGAGGUCCCACUCAUCCAGCAAAGAGGACAAAAGAUUGCUUCAUUCUUCUUGGGCCUUUCCCACAGUUUCUGCAAAGAGAAAAACAUGUGGAUUGACUCUUCUGGUCCAGACGAUAUGCUUCUGGCUGUGACUGUCAGUCACAGGUCUGCCUCCCUUUCCCAGAACUCUGGAGGCUCCAUAGCCACAACAUCGAUGGGGACUCCGGAUCUUGGUUUGGUCUCAAUCUCUUUUCCUUUUUUUCAACAGCCGACUGAACAGCCAGCAUCCCUGACAGGAAGCUUUUGCAUCUGGCUCUCUUCAUGUUGUUUACAUGAAUAAUUUAAUAUUUAACUUGCAGUAUCAUUAAUGAAUUAUGGGAAUGAUCGGGAUUGGACAGGAAUUCCAUGAAUGGACAGCGACAGGGCCUUGGGCUCACAGCAAGUAGAGUGCUGAGCGCCGGUGGGAGGGGAGGAGAGAUUCAAGUUUCCAGUUAUUAAGUCCCCGGAAAUGCUCUCCUGCUAGCCUGGCUUCUGCUAUCAAAAGUCUGUCAUUUCGAACCCUCUAGCAUCUAAACUGUCUGCAUCUAGCCUUCAAAAAUAUUUUGCUGUUUACUAACAAUGAGUCUGCCAGCUUUUCUUUUUUCCCCCUGAAUGCGUUUUGUUUUUCAUGCAAACCCCAAAGCGUUUUCAUUUGAAAUCAAACAGACAUGUUUGCAAAUAAAUGACGACACAACACA